rnacentral:rRNA from 1 species
UACUAUGCUUGUCUCUAAGAUUAAGCCAUGCAUGUCUAAGUACAGACCGAUAUAGACGGUGAAACCGCGAAUGGCUCAUUAAAUCAGUUAUAAUCUACUGGAUCUGUGACCAGUAACUUGGAUAACCCUGGUAAUUCUAGAGCUAAUACAUGCAAUCAAGCUCCGACCGAGAGGGAAGAGCGCUUUUAUUAGAUCUAAGCUAACGGCCAAUACGUGUCUUGUACGUGUCUGUUAGCGGUGAUGACUCCGAAUAACCUUGGGCUGAGCGCACGGUUAAGAACCGGCGCCGUAUCCAUCGAGUUUCUGCCUUAUCAGCUCGAUUGCAUUCUAUAGUACUGCAUUGGCUAUAACGGGUAACGGGGAAUCAGGGUUCGAUUCCGGAGAGGGAGCCUGAGAAACGGCUACCACAUCUAAGGAAGGCAGCAGGCACGCAAAUUACCCAUUCCCAGCUCGGGGAGGUAGUGACGAAAAAUACGGUUGUAGAUCUCUAAUAUAGAGGCUCUGCAACCUGAAUGAGUACACUUUAAAUCCUUGUACGAGGAUCAAUUGGAGGGCAAGUCUGGUGCCAGCAGCCGCGGUAAUACCAGCUCCAAUAGCAUAUAUUAAUGUUGUUGCGGUUAAAAAGCUCGUAGUUUGUUCUAUGACUUGAACUGACUGGGCACUUUGGUGUGAAAGGUCUGUUUAAGCAGAUGAAUGACUCGCAUGCGCCGACUCAAAGUAGCAGCGCGCGUAGUCAAGUAUUACUUUGAGGAAAUUUUAGUGCUCAAAGCAGGCUUAUGCCUGAGAAAUGUUGCAUGGAAUAAUGCUAUAGAACCUCGGUUUUAUUAAGGUAUUGGUCAAUAAAACCGUCGUUAAGAUUAAUAGAGACGGACGGGGGCUUACGUACUGCGACGCGAGAGGUGAAAUUCUUAGACCGUCGCAGACC